rnacentral:lncRNA from 1 species
UUGUUCAAUAACUCCCACUGGGACCUAUCAUCUCUAAUGUCAGAAGCACCUCUAGUAUAUUAACCUAUAGCCUAUAUAGCUUGGCCAUGUACUUUUGUUGCUGCAAUUUGGCAAACCCUAACUCUUGAUGAUGAUAAUUAUCUUCCUUCUAAAGGAGGAGGGAUGGUUUACUGAGGAAAACCAUAGAGAAGCAACUAGAUAUUACUAUAAAUUAUGAUCAUUAACUUUGAAUGCCCCUUCAAAAUUGCUUAAAAAGCACACAGAUUUGCAAAGACUUUCUUCUGUCGGGGUAUGCUUUGUCUUUUCUUGGAUGAAGACAAUGAUGCCUGCUAACUGGUCUUCUGACAUUAUUCUCUACCCCUGGCCUGAGGUGUCUUUCCAUUCUGCACAGCAAGGAUAGAGAGGUCAUUUCCAUCAC